rnacentral:rRNA from 1 species
AUUGAACGCUGGCGGCAGGCCUAACACAUGCAAGUCGAACGAGUGGAGGACUGGUGAGUAAUGUCUGGGAAACUGCCUGAUGGAGGGGGCUAACGACUGGAAACGUUAGCUAAUACCGCAUACCAUCAGAUGUGGCCAGUUGGGUUUAGCUAGUGGGUGGGGUAACGGCUCACCAAGGCGAAGAUCCCUAGCUGGUCUGAGAGGAUGAGCAGCCACACUGGAACUGAGACACGGUCCAGACUCCUACGGGAGGCAGCAGUGGGGAAUAUUGCACAAUGGGCGCAAGUCUGAUGCAGCCAUGCCGCGUGUAUGAAGAAGGCCUUCGGGUUGUAAAGUACUUUCAGCGGUGAGGCGUUACCCGCAGAAGAAGCACCGGCUAACUCCGUGCCAGCAGCCGCGGUAAUAC